rnacentral:rRNA from 1 species
UACGAAGGGGGCUAGCGUUGCUCGGAAUGACUGGGCGUAAAGGGCGCGUAGGCGGCGGCCACAGUCAGAUGUGAAAUUCCUGGGCUUAACCCGGGGGCUGCAUUUGAUACGUGGUUGCUUGAGUGGGGAAGAGGGUCGUGGAAUUCCCAGUGUAGAGGUGAAAUUCGUAGAUAUUGGGAAGAACACCGGUGGCGAAGGCGGCGACCUGGUCCUUGACUGACACUGAGGCACGAAAGCGUGGGGAUCAAACAGG